UAGAGAUUCUUCGGGAUCUUGAGAGCGGCGUACGGGUGCGGAACACGUGUGCAACCUGCCUUUAUCUGGGGGAUAGCCUUUCGAAAGGAAGAUUAAUACCCCAUAAUAUACUGGAUGGCAUCAUUCGGUAUUGAAAACUCCGGUGGAUAGAGAUGGGCACGCGCAAGAUUAGAUAGUUGGUGAGGUAACGGCUCACCAAGUCUGCGAUCUUUAGGGGGCCUGAGAGGGUGAUCCCCCACACUGGUACUGAGACACGGACCAGACUCCUACGGGAGGCAGCAGUGAGGAAUAUUGGACAAUGGGUGAGAGCCUGAUCCAGCCAUCCCGCGUGAAGGACGACGGCCCUAUGGGUUGUAAACUUCUUUUGUAUAGGGAUAAACCUACUCUCGUGAGAGUAGCUGAAGGUACUAUACGAAUAAGCACCGGCUAACUCCGUGCCAGCAGCCGCGGUAAUACGGAGGGUGCAAGCGUUAUCCGGAUUUAUUGGGUUUAAAGGGUCCGUAGGCGGAUCUGUAAGUCAGUGGUGAAAUCUCACAGCUUAACUGUGAAACUGCCAUUGAUACUGCAGGUCUUGAGUGUUGUUGAAGUAGCUGGAAUAAGUAGUGUAGCGGUGAAAUGCAUAGAUAUUACUUAGAACACCAAUUGCGAAGGCAGGUUACUAAGCAACAACUGACGCUGAUGGACGAAAGCGUGGGGAGCGAACAGGAUUAGAUACCCUGGUAGUCCACGCCGUAAACGAUGCUAACUCGUUUUUGGGUUUUCGGAUUCAGAGACUAAGCGAAAGUGAUAAGUUAGCCACCUGGGGAGUACGUUCGCAAGAAUGAAACUCAAAGGAAUUGACGGGGGCCCGCACAAGCGGUGGAUUAUGUGGUUUAAUUCGAUGAUACGCGAGGAACCUUACCAAGGCUUAAAUGGGAAAUGACAGGUUUAGAAAUAGACUUUUCUUCGGACAUUUUUCAAGGUGCUGCAUGGUUGUCGUCAGCUCGUGCCGUGAGGUGUUAGGUUAAGUCCUGCAACGAGCGCAACCCCUGUCACUAGUUGCCAUCAUUAAGUUGGGGACUCUAGUGAGACUGCCUACGCAAGUAGAGAGGAAGGUGGGGAUGACGUCAAAUCAUCACGGCCCUUACGCCUUGGGCCACACACGUAAUACAAUGGCCGGUACAGAGGGCAGCUACACAGCGAUGUGAUGCAAAUCUCGAAAGCCGGUCUCAGUUCGGAUUGGAGUCUGCAACUCGACUCUAUGAAGCUGGAAUCGCUAGUAAUCGCGCAUCAGCCAUGGCGCGGUGAAUACGUUCCCGGGCCUUGUACACACCGCCCGUCAAGCCAUGGAAGUCUGGGGUACCUGAAG
rnacentral:rRNA from 1 species